rnacentral:rRNA from 1 species
UACGAAGGGGGCUAGCGUUGCUCGGAAUUACUGGGCGUAAAAGGGCGCGUAGGCGGAUAUCUAAGUUGGGGGGUGAAAUCCCGGGGCUCAACCUCGGAAUUGCCUUCAAAACUGGAUAUCUUGAGUUCGGGGAGAGGUGAGUGGAACUCCGAGUGUAGAGGGUGAAAAUUCGUAGAUAUUCGGAAGAACACCAGUGGCGAAGGCGACUCACUGGCCCGAUACUGACGCUGAGGCGCGAAAGCGUGGGGAGCAAACAGG